AUGCUCGUUUCCGCAGCACAUAUACUAAAAUUGGAAUUAUUCAGAGGAGAUUAGCAUGGCCCAUGUGCAAGGAUGACACACAGUUCUGUGUAGUAUUCCAUAUUAAA
rnacentral:snRNA from 1 species